rnacentral:rRNA from 1 species
UACGUAGGGGGCUAGCGUUGUCCGGAAUCAUUGGGCGUAAAGAGCGUGUAGGCGGUCCGGUAAGUCCGCUGUGAAAGUCGGGGGCUCAACCCUCGAAUGCCGGUGGAUACUGUCGGGCUAGAGUGCGGAAGAGGCGAGUGGAAUUCCUGGUGUAGCGGUGAAAUGCGCAGAUAUCAGGAGGAACACCAAUGGCGAAGGCAGCACUCUGGGACGGUAUUGACGCUGAGACGCGAAAGCGUGGGGAGCAAACAGG